rnacentral:tRNA from 1 species
CAAAAUGAUAGCUUAACUAAAGCAUCUUGCUUACACCAAGAAGAUGUCCGUAACUGGACUAUUUUGAACUG